rnacentral:misc_RNA from 1 species
AACUUCCUGGGCCGGAACGAAAAGUGCGGAGGGGUGACCUGAGGUGCUUUUGGCUUGUGGUUGUGAUGUUGUGUU